UGGGGAAUUUUGGACAAUGGGCGAAAGCCUGAUCCAGCAAUGCCGCGUGUGUGAAGAAGGCCUUCGGGUUGUAAAGCACUUUUGUCCGGAAAGAAAUCCUUGGCUCUAAUACAGUCGGGGGAUGACGGUACCGGAAGAAUAAGCACCGGCUAACUACGUGCCAGCAGCCGCGGUAAUACGUAGGGUGCAAGCGUUAAUCGGAAUUACUGGGCGUAAANCGUGCGCAGGCGGUUUGCUAAGACCGAUGUGAAAUCCCCGGGCUCAACCUGGGAACUGCAUUGGUGACUGGCAGGCUAGAGUAUGGCAGAGGGGGGUAGAAUUCCACGUGUAGCAGUGAAAUGCGUAGAGAUGUGGAGGAAUACCGGUGGCGAAGGCAGCCCCCUGGGCCAAAUACUGACGCUCAUGCACGAAAGCGUGGGGAGCAAACAGGAUUAGAUACCCUGGUAGUCCACGCCCUAAACGAUGUCAACUAGUUGUUGGGGAUUCAUUUCCUUAGUAACGUAGCUAACGCGUGAAGUUGACCGCCUGGGGAGUACGGUCGCAAGAUUAAAACUCAAAGGAAUUGAC
rnacentral:rRNA from 1 species